AGCCAUUUACUCGCCAGGAGAAUACUGUUAUUCAGACCUGUGUUGUUGCCUCUUCUGGCAUUGCCUUCAGCGGUAAAGAAACUCAUCUUCACAUUGAACCAGAUAAUUGAGUUAGAAAUUGAUUGUGUAUUGCCAUACUUUUGCUUGUGCGUGUGUUUGUGACAUUCUGAUAUAAAAGUACAAAUCCUUAGUCUUUUGUACUCAAAACUCAACUGCUUUCUCUCUCUUUCUAGUUAGUUAUGUUAAGGUUUUUGCUUAAUAAUAAAUGCAUCUACUUGGGCAUAUGAAAAUAUACAGGAGGUUUUGGGACAUACCUCUUUGGCAUGAGUGAACGAAUUGCGACCCAAUCAGGAGAUGUAUCCCGUGGCGUCAAGGACCCUUCUUUGGGUUGGAUUAUCGGUUUCCUCUUUGUCGUCAGCUUUCUUGGCCUCUUCUCAGUUGUCCCCCUGCGAAAGGUUGGUCGCAGUUUUUGUUUCCUGCUUUCUCUCUUAUGAACCAAAAAGGAACAAUGAGUUUAUGAGAUCUUGCAUUGCCAAUUUCUGUGUGUUUGCAGAUAAUGGUAAUAGACUUCAAACUAACAUACCCAAGUGGUACUGCAACAGCUCAUCUUAUCAACAGCUUUCACACCCCUCAAGGCGCCAAGCUAGCCAAGUACUAACCUUUCAC
rnacentral:lncRNA from 1 species